rnacentral:snoRNA from 1 species
AUUCCAAAUGAUGUUAAAAAUACUGCCCCAGUCUGACAGGUUAUGAUUGAUUCAGAUUUCUGAAAGUAC